CGUCUUUGCCAAAAAACAUGAACAAAAUGCAACAAAAUGAAAUACCUUGAUGCCUCGCUCAAGCCAACGCGUAGAGAUGGCAGCGGUAUGUUGACUCCGGUAACGGGAACUCUCGAUCGUCGGCGCCGGAGAACCUCUUCCGUGACAACCGUAAGAUAUCACGUCGUCUAGAUCCGUUAACCUCGAAUCCACGUCCAACAUUCGAUACGGCGACUUCCGCUAAGACGUUCUGAUCUCCUCCUCCGAUCGUGGAAUUACGAUUCUGAUUCGUCUUCUCUUGAACUGAAGUUAGGCACAAAGAAGACGAACUUUGUCACAACACCCGGCGUCGAUUCCAGACACGCUAGAUUCCGUCACCGGCGGCAGCGAUCCAUUCCAACAACUAUCUAUAUCCGCGCUCCUCAACUAACCUGAAACAAAAAUAAUCGGCCAAAUUGGAGCAACCGCGAGCGGUAAAAGCAAGAUCGGAGGUUUCGUCGGCGGCUUCACUUUGAAAUUCCGGUAAUGAAUGUUGCAAGCUUGAAUCGCCUUUCUCCUCCUUCUUCUUAUAAUACAAUCCUCUGCGGCGAGGUAUUGUUUGCUAUCGAAAAUGGCGGAUGAACCGUCAGAAGGUUGAGGAGGAUUGAAGCGGUGGUUAACCGUUUUGCGAGUUUGUUACGGUGAGGGUUUCGGUUGUGUAAGAUUGGAAGAGAGGUGAAUUAAAGUGGUGAAGGUUGGUGAUGAAUUGAGGUUGAAGGUGGAGGAAGGUUCUGUGAAUGGAGGUUGAAGAAUCCGACAGUUUGUGAUGAAGCUUGCUUUUAUAGAGUGAUGAGUGUGAUAUUAGAAGCAAUUCGGAAGAAAAUUCUGUUAUGAAUUUGUUAUUAUUCUGUGAAAUUAUGCAGGUGUGGAAUUGGCUUUUGCUGGCUCGUGUUUAGCUUGUUGUUGUACCGGCUUAUGGAAGUCUUGGCUACGCAUCGUGUGGUUUAGUGUUUUGCUUUGCGGUUUACCGGCUUGGAAGCUUUAGCUGCGUUUCAAUGUGAAUUUGCAAGUUAUUUUGGAUGGGCGUGUUGCCGGCUUUUGCAGAAUUUCUUGGUUUGAUUGUAGUCGCAGUAAUUUUUGUUGAAUUGUAGUGCGAAUUUGUUUUAUAUGGCAAUUGUCUUGGUAGGGGUGAGCUUUGGUGGCAUGAUGCUUGUGAGGUUUGGAGUUGCUGUACAGUGUUGGAGCUGGCUUUGCAGCAUUUUUCAUGUAAAUGUGAAUUAAGAGAUGUAAUAGUAUUUAAUUGGAUUGUUGAAUUAGAAGUUUGGAUAUGUUUAAAGGUUAUAAAAAAUGGAUUAACCUUGGGUUAUGAACAGAACAUGGAUCAUGGACUAAAGGCAUAAUGAAGAUUUUAUGAUAUGUUAAAUGGAUGUAAAAAAUUUGGAUUUAACUCGAAUGGAUAUGGAUGAAUUAUUUAUCGGAUGUUUGUGAGAUCAGACAGAAAUUCUAAUAACUAAAAUAAUGUCCAAAUUAUUGACUUAAAAAAUAAAUGUCUGAUUAAUUCAGUUAAGAAAAAAGAUCAAAUGACAUGUAAAUCGAAUAAUUCUUCUGAAAGGUUGGNAUUAACUUGGGUUAUGAACAAAAAUGGAUCAUGGACUAAAUGGAUAAUGAUUUUAUGGAUAUUGUAAAAUGGAUGUAAAAAAAUGGAUUUAACGAAUGGAUAUGGAUGAAUUAUUUAUCGGAUGUUAGUGAGAUCAGAAAUGAAAUUCUAAUAACUAAAAUAAAAUGUCAAAAUUAAUUUGCACUUAAAAAUAAUGUUCUGAAAUUAAUCCGUUAAAGAAAAAGAUCAAUGAUCAUGAAAUCGAAAUAAUUCUCGAAAGUUGGUUCGAAUCCCAAGGAUCAAAUUUUGAAUUAAAUCCAAUUUGAGCCUUUAAAAUCCGUUCACAACUUCUAGAAUUAAUUCGAAAAUGACAGGACGACCCCGGAUCACAUGAUUAAAGUUCAGAGGUUGAUGAUUGACUUUGGUCAAAUGGUUGACCAAAAAGUUGACACAGACAAAAUGCAUAUCUUCUCAUGGACAAACGAAUACGGACCCUAACAUCCUGAACCAACGACUUAUGUCAAUGCCAUGAAUCAAUUCAGGUGAACAUCGACCAAACAACCGUUUAUACACAAGAUCCUUGAAUAGCACGAAUCAGGAUUCAAUCCCUAUGACGUGUAAUGCCACAAACUUCAGUCCAACUCCAAUUUUAUCAACCACAAACCCUGAAUCCAUGACGCCUGUCAGCAGAUGAAUGAAUGAAUGCACAUGAAUGAGUAUGAAUGAGGUUAGAUGGAUAUCAAGUUAUAGUCAAAUGAAAAAGCGAAAAGGAGGGCAAAUUUUGGGGUAUGACAGCUGCCCCUAUUUAAUCUUCUCGGACCUGAAUGUAUGGAUAGCAACGGCUUCCAAACAAUCAAGGUAGGAGAUGAUUAAAUACUUGAAUAACAGGAAAUUUGCCUGUCAUGAACAAAUGGAAAGCAAUGUGAGGAUAGGUCACCAGGAGGUCUCUUCACGGAGAAAUGUGGGAUGCGCAAGCUAGUGUUUGUCCAGGGCAGCUGCUGGGAAUCAGAAUGUUAUGUGGUAGAUGGGUAUGUGUGAGGGGUUAGAUAUGCAUGACAUAUGCCAUAUGCUAAUGCAGUAUGAUUGAUUAUUUAAGUCUUUCUCUAAGCUUUUUCUUUUUCCAUUUUCUGUUUUUUCAUUUUCCGUUCUCAUCUCUUUUUCAUUCUUUUCUUUUCUCGCCUCCCCUAUCAUGUUUUGGUAUGCAACAUGUGAUCGAGGUAUUCCCGCAGGAUUCCGUGACGGUAAAAGAAUCAGGUGUUUGCAAAAGGCAAGUACCGGUGGAUAAAAGAAUUGAAAGGAUAUCUCUUGCAAAAGGCAAAGAGACAUUUUGCUAAAGGCAAACAUCUCAACUAAAAAGUUCCAUUUUCUCGCGACAGGUAGCGACGGCUCCUUAGAAAAAGAAAAUGAAUCUCCCAAGUAUAGUUAAGAUAACAAGGAUAAAUAGAUUUCUCUCACAAAAGGUGAUGAGAACUUCUUAACAAAAGGUUAAGAAGUGAAUGGGAAUGAUACGACCUUGUUGGGGGAUAUGGUUUUUUCGUACAACAGGUAGCAACGGCUCCUCUGCACACACAACAAAGGGUCUUCCAAACAAAAGGUUAAGAAGAAAGAUGGUCGAAUUUCUCACACGAAAGGUAGUGAGAACUCCUUAACAAAAGGUUAAGAAGAAAAUGGGGUAUGAGAUUCUCGUACAAAAGGUAACGGGAACUCCUAGACACAAAGUCUGCUGGGGAUUCUCACACAAAAGGUAGUGAGAACUUCUUAACAAAAGGUUAAGAAGGCGCAUGAAGAUGGACAUGAUCCCUCAUACAAAAGGUAAUGAGAGCUCCUUAACAAAAGGUUAAGAAGAAAGGUGAAAGGAUUUCUCAUACAAAAGGUGGUGAGAAACUUCUUAACAAAAGGUUAAGAAGAAAAUUGGAAGGGAUUUCUCAUACAAAAGGUAGUGAGAAACUUCUUAACAAAAGGUUAAGAAGAAAUCGAAAAGGAAAAUCUUCCCAUACAAGAGAUAGUAACGACUUCUUUGUAGGAGGAUAUUUCCAGGCCAAAAGAAGGGAUCACUUACAAAAGGUAAGCAAGUUCAAGAAUGACAAUGCUCGAGCGAAAGGCCGAGGAGACUUACAAAAGGUAAGCAGCUGGGGAUAACAAUCUUUAUGCAAAAGGCACAAAGGGGACUCACGAAAGGUAAGCUAGAAGUGGAAGACCUACCAUGCAAAAGGCAGGGAAUACUUACGAAAGGUAAGUAAAGGAAGAAAGGUCACAAAUAUUUGCACGAGGCAAAACAAAGAGUGGGACAAGACCUGCUAGGUAAAACCUAGACUAAAGGGGAUCUGCCAGACGAAUCUGGGCUUUGGCACACUCUGACAGGUGGGGAACUUUGCAAAUAGGUAUGAAAACCUCAUAUUGUCCCUCAGGCACAACGACGGGGAUGAAGCUCUCAAACAAUGGUUACCCAAACCCCGGGACUCACCAAACCUACAUCAAGUGUUUAAAUAAACGGGAUGCAAAGAUCUGACAAAGGUACCUUUCUCGUGCGAAAGGCAUUGAGGGGGAGACGUGAUUUCGUGCACAAAGCAACGAAAUAAACUCACAAAAGGUAAGUUAUCUCAAUAAUCUUCUCCAGGCGGAAGGCAAGGAGGACUGGCACGAGGCCGAAAAGGACUUACGAAAGGUAAGUGUCUGAUGAAAGACACCAAAGGGUACUUGCAAAAGGCAACACGAAGAGGAAAUAUCUCGGGAAAACCUGCGGGGAGUACCAAUCCAAGGAUCCUUGAUGAUGUUCUCGUUGGGGAGGAAGAACAUAUCAACAACUAAUUUUUUCCUUUUUUAUGCUUUCGAGAAAGACUUUUAUGCAGUUAUGCAUGUUUAUUUUAUAUGGCGUAAUGCUCCAUCUUGAUGGAAUAUGCUACGUCCUUUUGGGGAUGCAAUGUUAUAUAAUGCAUGAUUACUUAUGCAAUGUUGAUGCAGUUUAUGCAAUGGUCUGAAUGUAUUUGGGUACACCAAGUGUGUUUGGGUUUUUGAUAAGGCUUUUUGUAGGGAUAUGACUUCAAAGGUUUAUGAAAUAACAAUUGUCCUCGUCAAAGAGUUGACUGAAAAGGAAGGUCGUCAUCAAAGAGUUGUUGGCCAACAAUUGUCAUCGUCAAAGGGUUGACGGCGGCAUCAAAGAGUUGAUGAAAGGACUGUCGUCAUCAAAGGGUUGACGGCGAAGGAUUGUCUUCAUCAAAGAGUUGAUGGAAAAGGAUUAUCAUCAUCAAAGAGUUGAUGGGAAAGGAUUGUCGUCAUCAAAGAGUUGAUGGAAGGAUUGUCGUCAUCAAAGAGUUGAUGGAAUGAUUGUGCUUAGGUAAUAUCAUCAUCAAAGGGUUGAUGGUUUCAUCAAAGGGUUGAUGGUAGAUAGUCACCAUCAAAGGGUUUAUGGGAUGAUGCUUGACUUUGUAUGCAUAUGAUGCGUGUUAAUUUGAUGCAAUUUUUUCCAUCUCGGCGAGAGAGUUUUUUUUUAUAUGGAACUUCCUACCUCGACAGAAAAGUUAUGCAUGUAUGUUAUAUGCAAUGCAUUUGGAAAUGCAAGAUGGUGAUUAGCUCUUUGGGUUGGUCUCCCUUUUCUAAUGGUGAUAUCCUUUGGGUACCAACAUCGAUUGGAUUUGAAUUUGUGAGGAUGACAACAAAGUGGACUUUGGUUCUUUUGGUGGUUGCCAAUAAAGAUUGGACUUGUGGUUUGGGAAAGGAUUCGACUUCCCGACACUCGAUAUUUGAAGAUGCCAUGAUCAAAGGAUAGACGCGGAUGCCCUUGGUGCCCCAAGUUUGAUCCUCAGUCGAAGGUGCAUCUUUGUUCCCAAGAGAACUUCCAUUCCUUUGCCUGGUAUAUCAUGACAAGCUUGCAAAUGAUUGCAUGAGCGUAGCGACGUAAUCAAUGCAAAAUGAUUGUGCUCUUGUUUUGCCCCAGUUAGUAGGGUAUUCAAAGUAAUCUUCCUUAAAAGGAAACCUUGAGAGGGAUUAUACCAUGACAUGGUCUGAGAUGGUUUGCCCCAGUGUCUGAAUUUGCGCUGGUCUGCUCUUGCAUGGCCCCUUGAGGGAAUUGCCCCUGGUCAUCUGAGCAUUGAGGACUUGUCUCCCUGAUCCAUGAUGCUUGGAGGUUUGCUUUAGACUACCCAACUCUUUUGGCAACACAUUCGUUGGAUGUCAUGCCCCUGAUCCAUAGGGUUAUGAAACAAUCUUGAUUCGGGAUAGCCUCGGUCUCGACGGAUGUUCAAGAUCUUCUCUGAUUGAUCUAUGGAAUCUCCUUGACGUCAAGCACUAACUUGCAGUUAAAAUUGUUCAUUUAAAAAUGGUAAUUUUAAUGUGACAUUCAUGCAAGUUUUUUUUUGAAAGAAUCAUUUAUUUGAGAUGAUUGUAAUGACAAGUGGCGAGUGGACCAUUAGUCCAAACGCAAUGCUGAUUUGGCUAAUGUGAAAUAUGCAUCGAAUAAUAUCAACACAAAAAUAUUAGCAAAAUAUCUAGGAGUCGGUUUACGCAACCUUGCUGCAGUAUGCUUUUCAGAAUAAACCCUGCUUCAAUUAGGUCUUUUGAGGGUUGUAACGUGGCUUAGUUCACGGUUAUUGAAACAAAUGAUAUAAGGCUCAAAUUUGAUUUUAACCCACCCCUUCUUCGUGAUGUUCUCCAGUCCUACAUUCAGCUAAUUUCAACAUACGCAUUCUUCCUCCAAGAGAGUUUGACGAUGUAAGAGUGAAGAUGAUGAUUCAAGGUUCGCUUAAAAUGGCAGUCACCUUAUUUGUUUUGUCUUAAUUGAGGAUUUAACGACCUCUUUUGAUUUCUUUGUCUUUUGUUUUUUUCCUAAUUUUUGCCUGGACCUCUCUUUCGAGAUUUUUGUUCCACCGGGAUUACCCUAAUUUUUGCCUAAGUCACCCAUUUGGGGGUCCGACUUAGCGGGUUUUUGCUUUUUCCUUUUUUCAAGUUUUUUUUGAAGGGUUGUGACUGCCAAGUCAUUGGUUGUUGAAGAACCACCAUCAUAGCUUUUGGAUUCGACACUUCGGGACGUGUGUGAAGAGCAUCAUGUGAUUGAUCCCAAGACGAGAUAUUUCGUCUUGUAAUCCGAAUGCAUAGUCGAAUUAACUAAACACUACCCUGCCCCAGGUUAAGCGUAAGGGUUUUUAGAUCCGAAAGAAACAUCUACUUCUAGGCUCGAAGUGGUUAACUAGGGAUUAACUCCUUAUCUCUCCGGUGUUUGGGGAUUUGAAACAAUGCCUGUACAUCAUCAACAAGGUUUUAUCUGAAAGCAUACAAUCAGCAAUUAUGGAGGGAUUUGAAACAAUGCCUGUACAUCAUCAACAAGGUUUUAUCUGAAAGCAUACAAUCAGCAAUUAUGGGUAUCUUGUUUCGUCAUCCUCCCUCCAAUACUUGCUAAACAACAGUUUAAUAAAGUGAAUGGAAAGAUUUUUUUUGCGAUUUUUUUGUAAAUAAAUGAGAACAUAUGAGUGAAUACGAAUGGAUUCGUUUAAAACAUGCAUGCUCAUUUUUAUUAAUACCACCAUUUAUAAACAACAAUCUUUAAAAGCAAGUAGCACUUAACAACAAAGAGACUACAAAUGCAAAGUAAUGAUGUGAUACGAGGAUUGCCAGUGUUGGGGAACCAAACUUUCCUCUUUCGCAUUGUUGUCGGGCUGGUCUUCUUCAUAGUUGCUCAUCGAGACAAUAUGAGAGAUAGCAUGCACUGACGAACCUUCAUGACUAGGCGAAGGAUUGUUGCUGAUUUGAAGACCUCGAGGCGUAAAUGAGAACAUCUUGGAGUCAAGCAACUUUUGCACCUGGCUUUUCAGCACUUUACAAUCUUCAGUUGAAUGCCCCACCUUCAUGACUAGGCGAAGGAUUGUUGCUGAUUUGAAGACCUCGAGGCGUAAAUGAGAACAUCUUGGAGUCAAGCAACUUUUGCACCUGGCUUUUCAGCACUUUACAAUCUUCAGUUGAAUGCCCCUUGCCCCAGCAUGGAAGUCACAUCGGGCGUUGACAUCAAAGCCUGGUGGGUAUGGUGGAAUCACUGGACGUAGUUCCUUCGGUACUAUCAAUCCAUCUUUGAUCAAAUACGGCAGUACUUGACUGUACGACAUUGGAAGUGGAUCAAAAUGCCUUACUGGCUUCCAUGGCCUUUGUCGAGUGUGUUGACGCUGCUGAUGCGAAGCUUGUCGUUGAUUCCACGGAGAUCCUCUAUUUUCAAGAGGGUAUUGACCUUGUGGAGGGAAUGGCGCCUGAUAUGGAGCUUGUGGAGCUUCCCAGAUUGCGUUAACUUCCAUCUCCUCUUGCUCUUGGGAACUGACAAGGGAUUCAUUCUCACUAGCCUGGAUGUUCGAGAUGUCUUGGUUCUUUCCACUUUUGAGCAUGCUCUCGAUGCGCAUUCCUGCCGACACCAAGUGAGAAAAAUCGGGUGAAGUACUUCCUACCAUCUUUUCAUAGUACGGACCUUGCAAGGUAUCCAUGAAUAAGUCAACCAAUUCUUUCUCCAGAAGUGGGGGUUGAACUUAAGCGGCUAAUUCUCUCCAUCUUUGGGCAUAUCCUCUGAAGGAUUCGUUGCUUUCCUGAGAUAAACCUUGCAACUGCAUACGGCUGGGAGCCAUGUCCAAAUUGUAAUUGUACUGCUUCAAAAAGGCGUUAGCCAGGUCUGACCAUGAUUGGAUGUGGCACUUUUCUAGCUGUAUGUACCAACUCAGUGAUGCUCCACUGAGACUGUCCUGAAAACAACGAAUCAUCAGCUUAUCAUUGUGAGCAUAGGAAGUCAUUCUUCUGCAAAACAUCACCAAAUGUUGCUUUGGAAAACUAUCCCCUUUGUACUUUUCAAAAUUAGGUGUCUUGAACUUUGGAGGCAUUAUCAGGCCAGGCACUAAACACAUGUCUGAAGCAUUCAGACCGAAAGCAUCAUGCUCUUCUAUGGCUUUAAGCUUCUCUUCUAACACCUGAAAUCUUUCAGCAACCUUCACAUCUUGUAGAUCCUUGGUUUUCAUCACUGGGACCGCCCCUUGGGAAUUUUGUGCAGAGAAUGCAAAACUAUGAUACUCAAUAGCAUCACAAGAGGAGUGUCCGUCUCGGACAAUGGGACGCUCUUGUAUAAUCUGGUCCUCGACAGGGAUCUGUACAGGGUGAGUUUGGGCAAGAUUGUUUACUUGAGGUGGAACGCCGUUCUCAGUUCUUACCGUCCGUUGAACGUUUUCAUCUCUCCUUGCCAAGGCUGUCAUAGCUUCCACGAGUUGGUCCAACUGAUUCUUUAUCACAUCAACAUCCUCCUUUGACGCAAACUGAUUUUGCUCCAUGAUCUUUCAAGUCCGAUAUGAGCGUCGGGAAAUCAACUGCGGGUUAUGGACAAAGGAUGGAUGAGCUUGUUUUUGUUAUGGUUUGGAAAAUGAUAUGCAAAAUGAUGCAUGGAUGUAUGCGAAUUUUUCACUUUGAUGUAUGGAUGGAUGAAUAAAUGAAUGGACGGCAUUCAGGCGAAUAGAUUCAAAAGUUCGAGGUACGGAUGAAGGAUAACACUGGUUGCUUUCCAUAUCAGGGAUCUCACUAGGUAUGAUCUAGGGUUUUAGAUAGGGACCCCAAAGUCAUUGAUUCAUUUGGCUGUUUGACGCUUACGGCAAGAGCUUGUCGGUCGUCAACUCCCUCAAAUGAGCCUCUUCUGGGUGAGAUCUUCGUACCGACCCACGCGAGAAGAGCUUCUCGGGGACCCGCACUACGCGACCAUCGACAUCGGGUUCUAGACAAGGGUCUCAAAGUCAUGGAUUUCCUUGACUGUUUGCCGCUUACGGCUAGAGCUUGUCGGUCGUCAACUCCAUCAAGAAAAUCUCUUUUGAGUGAGAUCUUCGUACCGACCCACACGAGAAGAGCUUCUCGGGGACCCGUACUACGCGACCAUCAAUCUUAGUAGGCCAUAGGUUUAAUGUUCUACAACGGUCCUUAGAGUCAUGGAUCCAAAUGAAGACAUUGAUCGCUUACGCCAAGAGCUUGACGGUCGUCAACGUCUCCAAAAGAAUCUACUCUAAGCGAGGUUCUCGUAUCGACCCUUACGAGAAGAGCUUCUCGGUGGCCCAUACUACUCAACCUCUCCUAUCUCAAGUUUACACUCUAGACUCGGGUAGAGAGUCUUUCCCACAAGGUUACUUGCAAUCGGAGUACCAUCCAUCGAUAUCGUAGAACCAAUGGAACCAUAUACUAUAUUACAAAAUUUAAAGCAAAAGGCAAUAAAUAAAGCAGGCAAUCAAAAGGAUAGACAUACACACAUGCGAGGAAGCAACCUAGAUUAGGCUUGACUUGCUUAGGGAGGUGUCCCCAGCAGAGUCGCCAGCUGUCGCUACGCGAAAAAUAUAGAGUCGCCAUCGGUUUUUAUUUAUUCCAAUGGAAAGGGAAAAUAUCGAGAAAACCCCAAAGUAUGGUCGUCGCAACCACGAACAGGUUCGGAAGUCGGUUAUGCAAGGGGAAGGUAUUAGCACCCCUCACAUCCAUGUUACUCCAUGGGAACCAUCUAGGAUGUUUGCGCUUAUAUGUGUAUUGUUCAUCGAAUGUUUGCUUGCCAAAGGUUUGCGGAGUGGAGGUAGAUUUUAAAUUAAUGUGCUCGCCAAGGAAUGGGUCCUCGUGCCUACGUAUGCCCACUUGUUGAAGUGAGAAAUCAGAGCGUUCGUAGUUCGUGGUUUUGAAAUUGUUUGUGUUUGUUUUGUUGAUUUUAUUACCUUGAAGAAGGGUUUUCGAUUGUGUCGCCCUAAGGCUAAAACAAAAGGUUUGAAUGCGUUGAGUUGUUUUUAAGUUUUGAAGAAAGUGUUAUUGAUUUCGGAUUGCACUAAAGACUAUGGAUAAAGGUGAAUGCCUCAAACGGUCAAGCCGAACGUCUUGUGUUCGAAGCAUUCAGAAUGAGUGUAGGAAAGCUCCAGUCUCAUCCCUUCUUUAUCGCUUAAGGCUCGUGACGUACGAUCCUAAUCGCCAUUUAUUGUGUUUUUGGAUUUGAUUUGGAAAAGACCGCUUGACGUUGGAUCAAGGGUUUGUUCAUUCGUUUUGAUUUGAAAAAUAGACCACUUGACGUUGGAUCAAGGGUUUAAUUAUUGGUUGCGAAAUGGUGAAUGUUCCUAAUGCCUAAGGAGUAACUAUAAAGCAAUAAAAGAAAGCGAGUAAAAGCAUACAUCGAAAUGGGGAUGGGGGUACAUGUAAAGUACAAGGGAGUGCUAAAAAUAAAAGGUCUCGUUGUCAGGUAGCCCAAGAGAAAGUCAUGUGUGUGCAAUUGUGUACUAAACUAGAAAGCAUGCAAUUUGUCUUGAAUUUUGAAAGCUCCUUUCCAUGUUUGGGUUGAAUGAUUGUCCAAGGCCUCUUGCAAAGGGUCCUAAUGAGUCUCUAAGUCCAUUGUCCAAUGUCCCUUACAUGCUAAGGAAUUAUCUUAUUUUUGUAUUUUUUAAGUCUUUGCCUUUUUAUGUUCAUUUUAGAAUGAGAUGAAUAUGUACAAUAUGAGUAAAAUAAAAGUGAAAUAAAGGGCAAAAUUUAAAUGUUAGAAACGGAGAUUAAAAGUUAGAAGCGAAAAAGUAAAGAGUUAGAUGCGGAGUUAUAAAGUGUUAGAAGUUAGAAAUACGAAAAUUAAAGGUUAGAAGCAAAAAUUAAGGAAUUAGAAGUUAGGUGUUAAAUGUUAGAUGUUAGAUUAAAGUAGAAAUCAUAAAAGAGUAUUUAACAAAAUUUAAAUUCUAGACGAUUAUCAACAAUUAAUUCCAAAACAGUUAUCAAAAUUAAAUUCUAAAACAAAUAACAAAUCAAUUCCAAAAUUGAAUCAUCAAAGCAAUUAACAAAAAAACAAAUUCUAAAACAAUUACCAAGUCAAUUCUAGAAAUCAAUUCUAAUUAAAUUCUAAACAAAAUUAACUCCUAAAUUCAAUUCUAAACACAAUUAAUCCUAAUUAUUUUUAAUAACCAAUUAACAUUUCCUAAGAUUGAUCCUAAUUAACAACUAAUCCUAAGUCUAAUCCUAAAUAAUCUAAACCAACUAGCUAUAAAACAAGGUAUAUGAGUUUUAAAGGUGCAGAAUGGGCCUCGGGAACAUUUGGCCCAAACCACAGGGAGGGUGCAAGCUGGAAAAACGGGGUGUGUUUGUGCAAGCAGCACGCCUGAGAUGAUAGGGCCUUCUUUAAGGCCCAUCCGAGAUGCACAAAGCUGUGAGGACGCUACUUCGUCUUUGCCAAAAAACAUGAACAAAAUGCAACAAAAUGAAAUACCUCGAUGCCUCGCUCAAGCCAACGCGUAGAGAUGGCAGCGGUAUGUUGACUCCGGUAACGGGAACUCUCGAUCGUCGGCACCGGAGAACCUCUUCCGUGACAACCGUAAGAUAUCACGUCGUCUAGAUCCGUUAACCUCGAAUCCACGUCCAACAUUCGAUACGGCGACUUCCGCUAAGACGUUCUGAUCUCCUCCUCCGAUCGUGGAAUUACGAUUCUGAUUCGUCUUCUCUUCUUGACUUCAAUCCGUGUUUCUUCUGCUUGAAACAGUGUUGUGGCGGCGUCGAUUCCAGACACGCUAGAUUCCGUCACCGGCGGCAGCGAUCCAUUCCAACAACUAUCUAUAUCCGCGCUCCUCAACUAACCUGAAACAAAAAUAAUCGGCCAAAUUGGAGCAACCGCGAGCGGUAAAAGCAAGAUCGGAGGUUUCGUCGGCGGCUUCACUUUGAAAUUCCGGUAAUGAAUGUUGCAAGCUUGAAUCGCCUUUCUCCUCCUUCUUCUUAUAAUACAAUCCUCUGCGGCGAGGUAUUGUUUGCUAUCGAAAAUGGCGGAUGAACCGUCAGAAGGUUGAGGAGGAUUGAAGCGGUGGUUAACCGUUUUGCGAGUUUGUUACGGUGAGGGUUUCGGUUGUGUAAGAUUGGAAGAGAGGUGAAUUAAAGUGGUGAAGGUUGGUGAUGAAUUGAGGUUGAAGGUGGAGGAAGGUUCUGUGAAUGGAGGUUGAAGAAUCCGGCAGUUUGUGAUGAAGCUUGCUUUUAUAGAGUGAUGAGUGUGAUAUUAGAAGCAAUUCGGAAGAAAAUUCUGUUAUGAAUUUGUUAUUAUUCUGUGAAAUUAUGCAGGUGUGGAAUUGGCUUUUGCUGGCUCGCGUUUAGCUUGUUGUUGUACCGGCUUAUGGAAGUCUUGGCUACGCAUCGUGUGGUUUAGUGUUUUGCUUUGCGGUUUACCGGCUUGGAAGCUUUAGCUGCGUUUCAAUGUGAAUUUGCAAGUUAUUUUGGAUGGGCGUGUUGCCGGCUUUUAUGCAGAAUUUUUGGUUUGAUUGUAGUGCAGAAUUUUUGUUGAAUUGUAGUGCAGAAUUUUGUUUUUAUUAUGCACUGUUUUGGUAGCCGCGUGAGGCUUUGUGGCUUAUGGCUUGUGAUGGUUUUGGAGUUGUUGUACAGUGUUUGGAGCUGGCUUUGCAGCAUUUUNAAUAAUCUAAACCAACUAGCUAUAAAACAAGGUAUAUGAGUUUUAAAGGUGCAGAAUGGGCCUCGGGAACAUUUGGCCCAAACCACAGGGAGGGUGCAAGCUGGAAAAACGGGGUGUGUUUGUGCAAGCAGCACGCCUGAGAUGAUAGGGCCUUCUUUAAGGCCCAUCCGAGAUGCACAAAGCUGUGAGGACGCUACUUCGUCUUUGCCAAAAAACAUGAACAAAAUGCAACAAAAUGAAAUACCUCGAUGCCUCGCUCAAGCCAACGCGUAGAGAUGGCAGCGGUAUGUUGACUCCGGUAACGGGAACUCUCGAUCGUCGGCACCGGAGAACCUCUUCCGUGACAACCGUAAGAUAUCACGUCGUCUAGAUCCGUUAACCUCGAAUCCACGUCUAACAUUCGAUACGGCGACUUCCGCUAAGACGUUCUGAUCUCCUCCUCCGAUCGUGGAAUUACGAUUCUGAUUCGUCUUCUCUUCUUGACUUCAAUCCGUGUUUCUUCUGCUUGAAACAGUGUUGUGGCGGCGUCGAUUCCAGACACGCUAGAUUCCGUCACCGGCGGCAGCGAUCCAUUCCAACAACUAUCUAUAUCCGCGCUCCUUAACUAACCUGAAACAAAAAUAAUCGGCCAAAUUGGAGCAACCGCGAGCGGUAGAAGCAAUAUCGGAGGUUUCGUCGGCGGCUUCACUUUGAAAUUCCGGUAAUGAAUGUUGCAAGCUUUAAUCGCCUUUCUCCUCCUUCUUCUUAUAAUACAAUCCUCUGCGGCGAGGUAUUGUUUGCUAUCGAAAAUGGCGGAUGAACCGUCAGAAGGUUGAGGAGGAUUGAAGCGGUGGUUAACCGUUUUGCGAGUUUGUUACGGUGAUGGUUUCGGUUGUGUAAGAUUGGAAGAGAGGUGAAUUAAAGUGGUGAAGGUUGGUGAUGAAUUGAGGUUGAAGGUGGAGGAAGGUUCUGUGAAUGGAGGUUGAAGAAUCCGGCAGUUUGUGAUGAAGCUUGCUUUUAUAGAAUGAUGAGUGUGAUAUUAGAAGCAAUUCGGAAGAAAAUUCUGUUAUGAAUUUGUUAUUAUUCUGUGAAAUUAUGCAGGUGUGGAAUUGGCUUUUGCUGGCUCGCGUUUAGCUUGUUGUUGUACCGGCUUAUGGAAGUCUUGGCUACGCAUCGUGUGGUUUAGUGUUUUGCUUUGCGGUUUACCGGCUUGGAAGCUUUAGCUGCGUUUCAAUGUGAAUUUGCAAGUUAUUUUGGAUGGGCGUGUUGCCGGCUUUUAUGCAGAAUUUUUGGUUUGAUUGUAGUGCAGAAUUUUUGUUGAAUUGUAGUGCAGAAUUUUGUUUUUAUUAUGCACUGUUUUGGUAGCCGCGUGAGGCUUUGUGGCUUAUGGCUUGUGAUGGUUUUGGAGUUGUUGUACAGUGUUUGGAGCUGGCUUUGCAGCAUUUUCAUGUAAAUGUGAACAAGAGAUGUAAUAUGUAUUUAAUUGGAUUGUGAAAUUAGAGUUUGGAUAACUGAUUUAAAUGGUUAUAAUAAAUGGAUUAACUUGGGUUAUGAACAAAAAUGGAUCAUGGACUAAAUGGAUAAUGAUUUUAUGGAUAUUGUAAAAUGGAUGUAAAAAAAU
rnacentral:lncRNA from 1 species